GUGAGAGGUGUUCAGCAAGGACCGAGGUCAGUAGAAGAUGGAGAAGAAAGCAGCCUUGUGUUACAUUGUUACAAUUUCUACUAGUUGGUCGAAAAUCUGGCACUGAAAUUGGCAUCGAACUGUAACUGGAAUACAUUUGCCAGAAAACGGGUGGUCAGAGAUUUGCUCCAGCUGUGAACGCGUCUUCCGUCUUAAACAAUGUAAGACAUUUUGGCAGUGACUCAACCGUGCACACGGAGAUUGAAUACGUUCUCCAUCAAUGACGUCAGACUCGUGUUCCACAGCGGCUGCAUCCAUGUCAAGAUUACAUGUCGCAUGUCAGAGUUCGUCUGCUAGUAAAUUUGCAAAGUUGACAUUUUUAAAUGUAUGAAAAUAUGAAGUGUCAUGUUUGCUUUGGACUGUGGUGUUCUCCAUUGGAAAGCGUAUCAAAUGAAAAAGUAUGAUGUAAGGAGUAUUUUUUUCGAGAAACGUCUAAUUUAAUUUAAAAAGGACUUGGGCGCGUUCACAGCCAGUUGAUCCGCAGACUAACUAGUUGAAAGCCCCACUUGAAAGCAAGCUUAGAUUUAAUUGCUCGUCCCUGCUGGGACGGUGCACAUGGGAGGCGGGGAAUCCAUUGUCAGGUGCAAUGAUCUUAAAUAGUCAGCAGUUCAACUGGUUGUGAACGGCGUCUAUUUCUAUACUAAGCGUCAGCCCUGUAUGUCGCUGGUUUGCUAUUGUACAUAUGUACGUGUAUCUAUGUUACCAUGUUGUUGUACAGUACUCUUCCCGCUCGUGGUGUUUUAAUGGUAAUUUGUUGAUGUAGUUGGUUAAGGGGCGGGUACAGGUCUCGAAGAUGAGAAAAUACUUUUUUUUUAAGUUCUCGUUUAAUACGAAUAUUGCCAAUGCAAAAAGUGUCUUGCUUUAUUGGUGUACUAAAUCGGUUUUGGUUAUUGUCAAAUUAUCACCAAGUAGUGUUCAGGAAGAGUACUUUGCUACACGUACAUGUAGUAUUGGUUUAUUUCCGUGUAGGUGUGGAAACAUAAACAACAAGCACAUGUAGGACGACCGGUUUUCUUAUUGAUGGUAACAUAUUUGUGAGGGCAAAUCUGCAAUUCGGCAUUUCAACCGUGAACAAUUAUAUAUUUAAAAUUGAAUCCUAAUACUUAUUUUGAUGUCUACUUUUGGAAAGAAAGAAAACGUCCCAACCGUGUAAAAUGCAUUUAUGGAAGUCUUUGGAGGUUAUAAUGUGUGUUUAGUUGAAGAAAAAACGAGAUAUAUAGCUACAAAAAAUCAAUAAAUUGCUGUAAUUUAAAUAAUUACGUUUCAGAAAUUGCAGCAUUAUCAAGCUGGCAGAAUGUGUCAUUAGUAUUGCAGAACUGUCCACACGUAUUGAAAUGAUCUUAAGUUUAAAGUGUGCAGUUGUGACGCAUAUGAAGUAAACUUCGUGUUUCAAUGAGGGGAAGGGUCAAAAGUCACCCUGGUUUUAGAAACGAAACCAAGGAGUUGAAAUUUUCCCGAAAUUAAAAUAAAUUUGUUAUUGUAGUAGUGGUAGGUUAUAAAGGAAAAUUGUUGAAUCAUAGAAAAUGUUUUAUUUCUGAAUAUUAUCUUCAUUAAAGGAUCUACAGGUAUGUAGGACUGACAUUCAUUAGAAACUUUUACAUUCUGAAUUUUUGACAAAUUCUUGACAAAGUAAAAUCAAUCAUUUUAGCUGUCACAAAGCCAAUUUUUUAGAAUAAUGGCUACUCGAUGAUGUUUUUAGGAAUGGCAAUUUCUGUCAAUACUCCCAAAAUAGAAUGUGAUACAAUUUAAACGAAAUUUAUAGGAAAAUUUUGACAACUAAAUGAGCAUUUUUUUGUAAAUUAACUUCACUUGCAGAUAUUUAGCCAAUUCUUCGAAAAUCCAUCGAAUUAUCAUACAAAAUUACUUCUUCAUAGUAUUUUGCUUCUUUAAAAAAUAUGAAUAAUAGUCAUUCUCUCAGUAUAAAAAACUUUAUCCAAAAAUGUAUAGAUCAGCGCUUUGUUAAAGGUUGGUCUUGUACCUAGUAUUUUCUUCGUUUACUCUUGUUCGCAAUCAAAGGGUAAUUGAAGAAUAACCUAUUAUUGGAUGUCAGUCCUGCUUGUUUAAUUAUAGUGCUGAGUGUCACUUGAUCACUGAAUACCGGAGACCAGUCUUAAGAUUAUUAGAAAUGUCUUAGUAAAUGUAUAUGUCAAGUAAACUAAUA